rnacentral:rRNA from 1 species
CUACGGGCGGCUGCAGUGGGGAAUAUUGUACAAUGGAGGAAACUCUGAUGCAGCAACGCCGCGUGGAGGAUGACACUUUUCGGAGCGUAAACUCCUUUUAUAUAGGAAGAUAAUGACGGUACUAUAUGAAUAAGCACCGGCUAACUCCGUGCCAGCAGCCGCGGUAAUACGGAGGGUGCAAGCGUUACUCGGAAUCACUGGGCGUAAAGAGCGUGUAGGCGGGUUAAUAAGUCAGAAGUGAAAUCCUAUGGCUCAACCAUAGAACUGCUUUUGAAACUGUUAACCUAGAGUGUGGGAGAGGUAGAUGGAAUUUCUGGUGUAGGGGUAAAAUCCGUAGAGAUCAGAAGGAAUACCGAUUGCGAAGGCGAUCUACUGGAACAUAACUGACGCUGAGACGCGAAAGCGUGGGGAGCAAACAGGAUUAGAUACCCUUGUAGUC